AGAUCCCUCCUCUGGAGCUUUGCAGCAAGCCCAGGUCACAGGUCUUCUCCAAAGUAAAGUUUUCUGCAAGAGCCAUCCUUUCUCCAUCUUCUCACCCCAAGCACAGAGAUGAAGAUCUUUCUUCUCUUACUUUUAAGAAAGGACUUCGCAUUAAAAAACAGGAUGAAGAAAUGGACUUGCUCAAAAGGGAAACAGUAAAAAUUACACACAGCGAAGUGCUCUAGGUGCAUGAACUAAUCAAACAAGAGAAAACAGGCAUUAAAGAGCAGGAACAUCACACCUAGAGCAAGCCUUGAAUAGAUUGAAAGACCCUGAUCUCCUCUUACUGCCAGGAUUAUCGCUCAGUAGUGAUUGCUUCUUAAAGAGGCGCUGCCUUUUGUGUGCUGUCUCGUGUAUGAGAUCUUGACAAGCAGGAAAGGAAACUUAGGAUCUCACAGUAUGAUGUGGAAGAAAAGAAAUGUGAUUGUUUUUUCUAUUUAAAAAAAAAAGCAACGAAAGCACUGUUAAGUCAGAUGGGCACAUGCUUUGUGUAGCUCCCAAGGCCUAUCUGAAGAGUACCGUAUAAAAACAAAGCUUGGUGAAGAGGAAGCAGCUGCAGGAGCGAUAUAGAGCCCUUUCUUAUAAACAAAGAGCACCACCAAAUCUGUUGGAGCAUGAAUAUUAGAUUUGCUGACUUUUGCUGACAUCACUGGGGGAGAUAAACAUAUUACAAGGAGAGGAACAGCUUGUUGCUUGAGAGGUUGCCAGAUGAGAUAAGCGAAUGGCGAAAUGGCAAAUGAAGACAGGGUGCCCAUCCUGACUGGCUGAGCAUAGCUGAGAGUUGCAACUCGGUGAAGUGCUGUAGUGAACGUAACUGCUCUGGAACAAGUGGAUAAAAAUGAACUAUGAAGCUCUUUUUUCCUAAUAACGAAGAGCUAACAGCUGCUUCCAUCUGGGAACUGUGUGAAAGUGCCUUACAGCUGUACAAUAAUAAACAGCUAAAAACUCCGCAGAGCCUACUGCUCCAUUUACAUUCUUUCCCAAUCUUUUGCCUCAUUAAACUGUAAUCUUCCUCCUAAUUAUAUUUCAUCAAUCUAUUGUUUAUGGAACUCUAGAUCAAAUGGCAAACAUAUUGAAACAAAAAUAAACUUAUAAUUAGUUGUCUUCUCCUCACCCCUCCUCCCUGUGUAUUAGCAAGUGCAUCAUUAUCAGGCCCCAGGGGUUUGGUGAGGCAAUCAGUUUACAUGGUGCACUUUUGGCAGCAAAGAAUAAAAAAAACAUUUGUAGCUGCAUAAUAUGAUUUACCAGCUCUAGGGCUCCAGGGUCUACACUUCCAUAAAUAUAUGUGACAAAUUAUCAAUAAAUCAUUCUCUGGUCUACCAUAUUGCAUAAUGUUUAUUGAAACCCAGUUCUAAUAAAUAUAAAAGUCACCUUUUUUAUCCAAAGCAUAAGAAACAAAGA